rfam:Ictidomys tridecemlineatus contig077697, whole genome shotgun sequence.
GGAGUUGUGGCUCAGUGGUAGAGUACUCACUUGGCAAGUGUGAGGCCCUAGGUUUGAUUCUCAGCACCA